rnacentral:rRNA from 1 species
CUACGGGAGGCAGCAGUGGGGAAUUUUGGGCAAUGGGCGCAAGCCUGACCCAGCAACGCCGCGUGAAGGACGAAAUCCCUCUGGGAUGUAAACUUCGAAAGUCAGGAAAGAAAUCCGCGUGGAUAAUACCCGUGCGGGAUGACGGUACCUGACGUAAGCCCCGGCUAACUACGUGCCAGCAGCCGCGGUAAUACGUAGGGGGCAAGCGUUGUUCGGAAUUACUGGGCGUAAAGGGCGCGUAGGCGGCACGGCAAGUCGGGAGUGAAAGGCCUGGGCUCAACCGAGGAACUGCUUUCGAGACUGCCGAGCUAGAGUGCGGAAGGGGCAACUGGAAUUCCCAGUGUAGCGGUGAAAUGCGUAGAUAUUGGGAAGAACACCUGAGGCGAAGGCGGGUUGCUGGGCCGACACUGACGCUGAGGCGCGAAAGCCAGGGGAGCAAACGGGAUUAGAUACCCUUGUAGUCC